rnacentral:rRNA from 1 species
AUUGAACGCUGGCGGCAGGCCUAACACAUGCAAGUCGAGCGUGAAAGUCCUUCGGGAUGAGUAAAGCGGCGGACGGGUGAGUAACGCGUAGGAAUCUGCCCUGAAGCGGGGGAUAACUUGGGGAAACUCAAGCUAAUACCGCAUAGACCUAAGGGUGAAAGAUGGGGAUCUUCGGACCUAUCGCUUCAGGAGGAGCCUGCGUCGGAUUAGCUUGUUGGUGGGUAAAGGCCUACCAAGGCGACGAUCCGUAGCUGGUCUGAGAGGAUGGCCAGCCACACUGGGACUGAGACACGGCCCAGACUCCUACGGGAGGCAGCAGUGGGGAAUAUUGGACAAUGGGCGCAAGCCUGAUCCAGCCAUGCCGCGUGUGUGAAGAAGGCUCUAGGGUUGUAAAGCACUUUAAGUUGUGAGGAAGUUACGAUUGCAAAUAGUGGUCGUAAUUGACGUUAGCAACAGAAUAAGCACCAGCUAACUCCGUG